GACGGAGGAGGCAAGCGUUAUCCGGAAUUAUUGGGCGUAAAGGGUACGUAGGCGGCUGGUCAGGUCUGGGGUUAAAGGCCACAGCUCAACUGUGGGAAGGCCCUGGAAACUGACCGGCUAGAGUGAGGAAGGGGUUGCGGGAAGUCCCGGUGUAGCGGUGAAAUGCGUAGAUAGCGGGAAGAACACCUGAGGCGGAAGCGCGCAACUGGUACUCAACUGCCGAUGAGGUUCGAAAGCUAGGGGAGCGAAUGGG
rnacentral:rRNA from 1 species